GAAAAAUAGAAAAACUGUUUUCAUCACUCCACAAGGAUACGAGGAAUUAUAGGCAUUUCAAGUGGUAUUUGAUGGCAUCUUGAAAUCAGGCCCAUGGAGAAACAAAUGAAGGUUAUGACUGACAAUUGGAAAUAUUGGAUGAUUAGAGAUUACUUUUACAUCAACCCUGCAUGUACAGCGAUUACAACUCAAAAUUAUGUCAAACUUCUUUAUUUUCUUAAUACGUUUUUAAUCCAAAAAAUGUCCAAAAACUUAUUUGAGCUUUGACGAGUAGGGAUGUAAUAACAAUGGCGGACGGUGCGCAGAAACCCACAACCACUAGUGCAGAAUAGAGGAAACAGAGAUAAGGAGGAAAGGGAGGAAUAGAGACUGUGCAAACCCCAAGAGAGGAGGAUUCCCUUUCGGAGUUGACCAAGGAUACUCCUCUCAUACCGUCCGUCCAUGCUAUUACACCAUCAAAUAAAGGACUGAUGUGAAGUGUUAGUAAUGUCCACGACACUAGGUCCAUGACACUCCCACAUCACAUGAACUAACCGACUCUCAGCACAAGUUGGUGUCGUCUUUGGGGAGUGUGUGACCGUUCUGUGAGAGCGCAAUGCUUCGCAGACUGCGUGAACGCUCAAACAAGCUGGGAUCUGUAUAGAUCGGCUCACUAGGGUCUUCAAACAUUUUGCUGCUCAGAAUGGAGGAGAUACCAGGCAAGGCAGAAUCUGAGGGCUGGGGUGGAGGUUCUACCACACAUCUGCUUCUGUACAGUGGAAACUCAAAUUUAUUAAUCAUUUCGUAACUUUAAAUAUUAAAAUAAACAUUAUAAGUUCACACUGUGCAUUAGAAUAUACUUAAAUCAUAAAAAAAACUAUAAUUGAUUUCACAGAUGAUUCAUAGAUUGGAUUAAUUUACACUGUUAUCACGUUGAAGUGUAAAAGUAAAGAAUAAGACAGAUUUUUUUAAUUGGAAUUUUUCUUUUUACUCCACUUUCUGGCACCAUAGGUUUGUGUGCAAAUAUAUAAGGAUCAAGUGAGCUUAAUUCAGCCCACAAAGGCACAACAGGAAUGAAACCUAUACUCACUAGCAAUUAUAGUAUCUCUUACUUGCAUGGAAGAAUGGCUAAAUACUGUUUGAUGAAUAUAACAUGUAAAAUACAUUAAUAAAACACAGAAAAGAACUGUAAAAAUUUGUAUUUGACAAGUUUGACAGUAAGACAUUGGCAGUGCUGGAGAAAAUAAAAUUUUAUUUUACUUUGUAACAUAAAUGAUCAGUUGUAUGACUCAAGAGAUUUAAGAAAUGAAACUAUGAUUAACUGAGGGACAAGCUCAAGAAAGAAGGUUAUAAUGAUUCAUGGAAAACAGCUAGAGAUGGUCUAAUUUAUUACCUGCACUCCUCUAAAUUAAAGUCAACCACUGACUGUAGUUUCUUGGAAAAGUAGCUCAGGCAUGUUUGAUCAUAAUGUAAAGUACUUUGUAAAAUGUAGACAAAUUCAAAUUUGUAUAUAGGAAUUUUUGUAUAUUAAUAAAGUUCCAAAUUUUGUGCCACUUACAAGGGCCAAAUAAUAUAUUUAUUCUUUAAUUUUUCUUUUACUAUUAGCAGUAUUUAAUUGUCUGUUCAAAGAGCUAUAUGUUGGGACAACAUUGUGACAAGUAUCAAUAUAUUAAUAAAAUAUUUAUGAGCAGAGUUUUUUAUUAGUAUUGCACCAUUUAUAAUUUAGUUCUAUAAUAUAUCUAAACUUUUCUUUCAUUUUAAUAAUAAUACUGAAAUGUUUUCUUAAUAUUCAAUGAUCACUUGAUGUUUAGACAAAUUAAGUCAACAUGAGUUAAAUAGGAUCUUUUCAAAUGAAGUGUAAUUAGGUUCUAAAUGCGUGAGCUAUCUGGUUUCACCCCUGUGCAGAUAAAAGUACUUGAUUCUAGACACUAGAUUAGAAAAUUGGCCUCUGUGACUAUUCUUUCAAACUAAUGUUCAAAUUGUUUUGUAAAUUUUGAAAAUAAAACACUGAUGAACUUAA